rnacentral:rRNA from 1 species
AGCAGUCGCCGCGGUAAUACGAAGGGUGCAAGCGUUAAUCGGAAUUACUGGGCGUAAGGCGUGCGUAGGCGGUUUGUUAAGUCUGCUGUGAAAUCCCCGGGCUCAACCUGGGAAUGGCAGUGGAUACUGGCAAGCUAGAGUGUGUCAGAGGAUGGUGGAAUUCCCGGUGUAGCGGUGAAAUGCGUAGAGAUCGGGAGGAACAUCAGUGGCGAAGGCGGCCAUCUGGGACAACACUGACGCUGAGGCACGAAAGCGUGGGGAGCAAACAGGAUUAGAUACCCCAGUAGUCCCUGUCUCUUAUAA